UCCAGACUCCUACGGGAGGCAGCAGUGAGGAAUAUUGGUCAAUGGGCGGAAGCCUGAACCAGCCAAGUCGCGUGAGGGAAGAAGGCCCUGCGGGUCGCAGACCUCUUUGGACGGGGAGCAAGGCCGCCGACGUGUCGGCGGAAGGAGAGUGCCCGUAGAACAAGCAUCGGCUAACUCCGUGCCAGCAGCCGCGGUAAUACGGAGGAUGCGAGCGUUAUCCGGAUUUACUGGGUGUAAAGGGCGUGUAGGCGGAGCUGCAAGUCAGAAGUGAAAUCUCCGGGCUCAACCCGGAAACUGCUUUUGAAACUGUAGCCCUUGAGUAUCGGAGAGGCAGGCGGAAUUCCUAGUGUAGCGGUGAAAUGCGUAGAUAUUAGGAGGAACACCGGUGGCGAAGGCGGCCUGCUGGACAGUAACUGACGUUGAGGCUCGAAAGCGUGGGGAGCAAACAGGAUUAGAUACCCGUGUACA
rnacentral:rRNA from 1 species